rnacentral:tRNA from 1 species
GUAAAUAUAGUUUAAUAUAAAACUUUAGGUUGUGAGCCUAAAAAUAGAAGUUCGAAUCUUCUCAUUUACC